GAACGGGUGCGUAACACGUGAGCGACCUGCCUUUCCGCGGGGGGAUAGCCGGCCCAACGGCCGGGUAAUACCGCAUACGCUGCGUCUGGGGCAUCCCGGGCGUAGGAAACCUCCGGGGCGGAGAGAGGGGCUCGCGACCUAUCAGCUAGUUGGCGCGGUAACGGCGCACCAAGGCGACGACGGGUAGCUGGUCUGAGAGGAUGGCCAGCCACAUUGGGACUGAGAUACGGCCCAG
rnacentral:rRNA from 1 species